GUGCACGCUGGCGGUAGGCCUAACACAUGCAAGUCGAACGGCAGCACAGUAAGAGCUUGCUCUUACGGGUGGCGAGUGGCGGACGGGUGAGGAAUACAUCGGAAUCUACUUUUUCGUGGGGGAUAACGUAGGGAAACUUACGCUAAUACCGCAUACGACCUACGGGUGAAAGCAGGGGGUCUUCGGACCUUGCGCGAUUGAAUGAGCCGAUGUCGGAUUAGCUAGUUGGCGGGGUAAAGGCCCACCAAGGCGACGAUCCGUAGCUGGUCUGAGAGGAUGAUCAGCCACACUGGAACUGAGACACGGUCCAGACUCCUACGGGAGGCAGCAGUGGGGAAUAUUGGACAAUGGGCGCAAGCCUGAUCCAGCCAUACCGCGUGGGUGAAGAAGGCCUUCGGGUUGUAAAGCCCUUUUGUUGGGAAAGAAAAGCAGCAGGUUAAUACCCCGCUGUUCUGACGGUACCCAAAGAAUAAGCACCGGCUAACUUCGUG
rnacentral:rRNA from 1 species